GUGUCCCCCACUGGAGAGAGGUGGCCCUGGCGGCCAUCCACCGAAGGAGCAAGUGCGGCAUCGCCCGCGCGAAUCUCUCAGGUAAAGCGGACAGAGGGGGCAGC
rnacentral:ncRNA from 2 species